rnacentral:rRNA from 1 species
CACGUAGGGGGCGAGCGUUGUCCGGAUUUAUUGGGCGUAAAGAGCUCGUAGGCGGCUAAGUAAGUCGGGUGUGAAAACUCCAGGCUCAACCUGGAGACGCCACCCGAUACUGCUUUGGCUAGAGUCCGGUAGGGGAGCAUGGAAUUCCUGGUGUAGCGGUGAAAUGCGCAGAUAUCAGGAGGAACACCAGUGGCGAAGGCGGUGCUCUGGGCCGGAACUGACGCUGAGGAGCGUAAGCGUGGGGAGCAAACAGG